rnacentral:rRNA from 1 species
AAAUUGAAGAGUUUGAUCAUGGCUCAGAUUGAACGCUGGUGGCAGGCCUAACACAUGCAAGUCGAACGGUAACAGGAAGCAGCUUGCUGCUUUGCUGACGAGUGGCGGACGGGUGAGUAAUGUCUGGGAAACUGCCUGAUGGAGGGGGAUAACUACUGGAAACGGUGGCUAAUACCGCAUAACGUCGCAAGACCAAAGAGGGGGACCUUCGGGCCUCUUGCCAUCAGAUGUGCCCAGAUGGGAUUAGCUGGUAGGUGGGGUAACGGCUCACCUAGGCGACGAUCCCUAGCUGGUCUGAGAGGAUGACCAGCCACACUGGAACUGAGACACGGUCCAGACUCCUACGGGAGGCAGCAGUGGGGAAUAUUGCACAAUGGGCGCAAGCCUGAUGCAGCCAUGCCGCGUGUAUGAAGAAGGCCUUCGGGUUGUAAAGUACUUUCAGCGGGGAGGAAGGUG